UACGGGGGGGGUAAGCGUUGUUCGGAAUUACUGGGCGUAAAGGGCUCGUAGGCGGCCAACUAAGUCAUACGUGAAAUCCCUCAGCUUAACUGGGGAACUGCGUGUGAUACUGGAUGGCUUGGAUUUGGGAGAGGGAUGCGGAAUUCCAGGUGUAGCGGUGAAAUGCGUAGAUAUCUGGAGGAACACCUGCGGUGUAGACGGCUUACUGGACGGUAACUGACGCUGAGGCACGAAAGCGUGGGUAGCAAACAGG
rnacentral:rRNA from 1 species